rnacentral:rRNA from 1 species
AACGAACGCUGGCGGCAUGCCUAACACAUGCAAGUCGAACGAGAUCUUCGGAUCUAGUGGCGCACGGGUGCGUAACGCGUGGGAAUCUGCCCUUGGGUUCGGAAUAACAGUUAGAAAUGACUGCUAAUACCGUAUAAUGACUUCGGUCCAAAGAUUUAUCGCCUGAGGAUGAGCCCGCGUCGAAUUAGCUUGUUGGUGAGGUAAAAGCUCACCAAGGCGACGAUCCGUAGCUGGUCUGAGAGGAUGAUCAGCCACACUGGGCCUGAGACACGGCCCAGACUCCUACGGGAGGCAGCAGUGGGGAAUAUUGGACAAUGGGCGAAAGCCUGAUCCAGCAAUGCCGCGUGAGUGAUGAAGGCCUUAGGGUUGUAAAGCUCUUUUACCCGGGAUGAUAAUGACAGUACCGGGAGAAUAAGCCCCGGCUAACUCCGUGCCAGCCGCCGCCGUAAGAC